GCGUUGGAGAAAGCCCUGGAGACUCAGCCCAAUGAGGAAAGGGAAAAGGAAUUACAAACUGUGUCCAAGUGCACAAAAUUAAUUACUCAGAAGGACCAGCUGUUCCCCAUAUUCAGUGAGGACAGAACAAGAGGAAACAGGCUGAAAGGGCUAAGAUUUGAAUUUAGAUACUGAGAAGGAUUUCCCUAUGGUGUGUGAAGCAGAGGCCUGGAGAUCCUAGGAAGGGUUCGUGGGAUGAGCCUCCAGGGCGUUCUGACCUGUGGAAGGAAGGCAGGUGACGUGGAGUCCGGCAUGGAGGCAGGAGACUGGACAACUUGAGCUUUCAGAACCGGCUUGUGGGAGAUUUAGAUCAGCCAAGCUCAGGAUUUUUUCAGAUGUAAGAGACACGGAAGCAGUGGAACGGGGUCCUACUACCUGAGGAGGAGAAAGAACUGCGGGUCUCCUUUAGGAGAGAAGUGGGGCAGAUACCCAUGAAUUCCGUUUGUCCGUCUAUUCAACACAGAGGACAGAGUGAGUUUUGUGGGCUGGACGCAGCCUGAGUUUUGCCCCGAGGUGGAGGGAGGAGUGAUCUCUCUGGGUCUCCUUCAGCUCUCAGCGCCAGCACCGUCAUGUCCUGAAGACAGCGGUAAACCAGGGGUCGUGGGGCCCGGGUUUCAGGCCUGGAUCACCCCUCUGGGCCUCACUUUCCUCCUCUUUACACGGAGGGGUUUAAACCGGAUACUUCCAGAGGUCGUGCCCAGCCUUCUAUUAUCUUGUUUGGCUCUAAGAUUCAGAAAAUGGCCUGGUCCCAUGCCCGGGGGUCACAGCUCAGGAUGUCCCCUGGACGGGUUCAUCCGCUCCUUGCCUACCCCUGAACUGUCAGGGUGACUCAUCUCAGGAUGGAACCUCUUAAGGAAGGGAUGGCAUGUCAGGGCAGCAGUCUGAGAGGAGGCGGUGCCCGCACAAUGCCUCAGGGGGAGUUGGCACGUGGCCUGGGCUCUGCUGAGAAGCUGCUCCGCACCACCCGCUCCGGGGCAGGCCAGCGACCCCUGCACUGCCCCAGCGCCGCCACCCUGCUCAGCCUCCUGAGGCUCUGACUCCGCCACCAAACCGGCCCCACCACUGCGGGCAAGAGUGGGGCUUGGACUUGGAGUCCCUGCGUGUGAGCCUUUGUCCCCACACCUGUGCCAGGCGCUGACAGUUCCUUCUCUACCACACCCGGGAAGAGUCCCCUACCAGCCGUAAGACCCGCACAGAUGUCCCGGUUGUGCAAGAGAGGGAGGCCGAGCCGUAGGGUAGGAGAAAGAGCGCGAACCAGGAGUGAGGAGACUGGAGGCUCCGCUGUGCCACGGGGGCCUCGGUUUCCUUACCUGUUCAAAGGUGCGUACUAGUGCCUCUUCUACUGAGAGGUACUUACCUGAGGGCUUGUUACCCAGAUGAAGGUAUAGCCACUGCAGAGGACUUUGAAGGAUGAAGGGACCGUUCUGAAAAAAAAAAUUGAGAAAUCCCAAAUAAACACAGGGUGAAAUAAAGAAACGAGAUACUGCAGAGAAACUUAAUACUGAGGGGCACCUGGGUGGCUCAGUCGGUUAGGUGUCUGCCUUCCACUCAGGUCAUGAUCCCAGGGUCCCCCGAUCGAGUCCCGCAUCAGGCUCCCUUUUCAUCGGGGAGCCUGCUUCUCUCUCUCCCUGUACCCCUCUACCCUGCUCGUGCUCUCUCUCGGUAUCUCUCUCUCAAAUAAAUAAAUCAAAUCUCUAAAAAAGAAAAAGAAACUUUAUAACAAGAAGCACCUGUGUCCACCCCGACCCUCUUGCUACAGCCAACCCUCUUCCCAAAAUCUCAGCUAUUCCUUUCUCUGACGUUUACUUUGCUGACUCUAAAUAGUCUCUCCAUCUUUUUUUUUUUUCAGCUUUGUUGAGGUUCAAUUGACAAAUAAAAAUGUAAGAUAUCUGAAGUGUGGGGCAGCCUGGGUGGCUCAGCGGUUUAGCGCCGCCUUCAGCCCAG